rnacentral:rRNA from 1 species
GAUGAACGCUGGCGGCGUGCCUAAUACAUGCAAGUCGAGCGAAAAGACGAGAAGCUUGCUCCUCUGACGUUAGCGGCGGGCGGGCGAGUAACACGUGGAUAACCUACCUAUUUGACUGGGAUAAUAUCGGGAAGCAGGUGAUGAUAACGCAGCAUAUAAUCAACGGCAGAAAUCAGUGGUUCAACAGGGCUUUGCCGUCUCUAUUAGACGAUUCCGUGCCGGAUUAGCUAGUUGGUAAGGUAACGGCUUACCAAGGCAACGAUGCGUAGCCGACCUGAGAGGAUGAUCAGCCACACUGGAACUGAGACACGGUCCAGACUCCUACGGGAGGCAGCAGUAGGGAAUCUUCCGCAAUGGGCGAAAGCUUGACGGAGCCACGCCGCGUGAGUGAUGAAGGUCUUCGGGUCGUAAAGCUCUUUUGUUAGGGAAGAACAACUGUGGAUUAAUCCACGCAUGUUUUGACGGUACCUAAAGAAAAAGCCCCGGCUAACUUCGUG